GUCUCUAUGUCUGGAGCUCUUAGAGAUAAGACAUAGAGGUGUCUGGUUCUGAGAAAAGGAAGUUUUGCUAAGUGAGAGACACAACUGACUCAACUGACUCAGAAAACUGAUUAUAUUCCUGGUCCCUGAACGAUCCUAUAGAGACAUCCAGUCCCUGACUCCACCUGCCUCCAGGUGCCCAGAACAGCCCAUCGUGGGGACUUCACCCUCAGCAAGUGGACGCCGUUUGUCCUGCCAGGGCAGGAUGGAGAUGGAUGAGGACCCGGAUAACCUGCCUGCCCAGGGGCAAGGCAAUAUCAUCAUUACUAAGUAUGAGCAGGGACACCGAGCUGGGGCAGCAGUGGACUUGGGGCAUGAGCAGGUUGAUGUUGGAAAAUACACCAAUAACCUCGGGAUUGUGCAUGAGAUGGAGCUGCCCCGCGUCAGUGCCCUGGAGGUGAAGGUAAGAGCCUGUGCCUGCUGCGUGGGAGGCUGCUUCAGGGACUGGGAAUCGGGUGGUCGGUAAGGCAGAGGGGGUGGCCUGUGGGCCUGUGUGGUGGUGAGUGGGCCACGGCUGUCACUGGGAGGGGUGGCCUUUCCUGCUGGACUCUGUUCCCAUGAGGGCUUGACCAAAACCCAAACCAAGAACUGCAGUCCUGGCUCAGAGUCCACUGCCUGUUUGAACCAAGACCCCAGCUGAAGGCUGGACCUGACCAAAACUUGGGGCAUUUAUGGCCUGAGGAUGGCAUGUCGUGGCAUCACCAGUCCAGACUACCAGCUCCAGUUCCUUCAGAGGGUCUCAGCCCCUGGGGCCUGCCCUUUCCUGGCUUCUUCAGGUUGGGUCCCUUCAGGGCCCCAAAGCCCUGGACCCAGCAUCCACGGGCCACUGUCAGACGCCUGGCAGCUCCGCUAACUCCAUCUUGGCUCAUUUGACAGCAAAGAUGCAAGGAAAGUAAACGUACCAACAAGUGGCAAAAGAUGCUUGCAGACUGGACAAAAUAUAGGAGCACCAAGAAGGUAACAUGGGGAGGAAGUGGCCCGCGUGACUGCUCUCUGCAGAGCCAGGAGACAGGCGCCCAUGGUUGUGACCUGGCACCGUCUGCCUCUCAGUGGGUGGGUGGUACCCCAUCCUUGCCAUAGGACUGCAGGCCUGUUCGCCAGCUUUCCUCUGCGGGGUCGCCCCAUGUCCUUUCUCACUGAAGUGUUCUUCUGUCUGUAGCUGUCUCAAAGAGUAUACAAAGUCAUUCCCCUGGUGGUACGGGGCCGGGCAUAGUCACUUUUGCUAGAUAUUGACAGAAUCAAGUCCCAGAACCCAUGCAAAUAUAAGGUCAUGAAGGAGAAGGGCAAGAGGUCCUCCAGAAUCAUCCACUGCAUCCAGCUAGAUGUCAGCCACACCCUGCAGAAACACAUGAUGUUCAUACAAAGAUUCGGAGUCAAGCAGCAGGAAUUAUGUGACAUCCUCGUGGCCUAUUCUGCAUAUAACCCUGACGUAGUAGGCAGGACUUCAGCUCGCUGCUGGCAGAAAAGGGUUGAAGCCCAGACUCCUGGUGUCACAUGGACCCAAUCACCACGUCUCAGAUGAAGAAAUGACCUUCCCCUCCUGGUGUUGCCCCAAAGCCUAGGAGCUUGGCAGGGUCCCACACAGGAUGGUCCUUGUAGGAGACAGGUUUGACAAGUUGCUGAGGUGCCUGAUGGGCCAGGCACUUGUCAUGAAAUGAGUUUGCAUCCUGGGGGAGCCUCUUCUUCACUGGAAACCUGGCAAGGAUCCAAUUUCCCCUUUGCCUGAACCCCAUAGGAGCAUAGCAGAUAGGGAGGGGGGUCACCCAGGUGGCUGUUCCUGCUUGGCCCCCACUUUCCAGACCAUUCCAGGCAGGGAGAGCUGCUGAGCUGACUGCAUGAGCUGCCCACAUGGAGGACCCAGCCACCCCUUAUGUCCGGCAGGCAGCCCUUGGGCUGUUGCAGGACCUUUUGUGUGGUGGUCAGCGCCCCGCCGCCUGCCCUCGUGGCAGGUGCAGUUCACAGGUGCUGCCCCAGGCCUGGCACAGUGGCCUCCCCAGCCUGGCCCAGGGGAGGGAGCAUGAACAAUCCCUGACUGUGCCCUUUUGGGCCAUGUGAGCUUGGACACUUGCUGCAGGAGUCCCCCCAUGCUCCUUGUCAACUGAGUUGUGCGUGACCUGCUCAGUCCUCAUGUCCAGUGCCAGGGGAGGGGUGCAGAGGCUGCACCUCAAAUCCCCUGGGGCCUGAGGCAGGUGUCCCCAAAGACCUAUGCCACCUCUGGUGACAUAAGUCCUCCCAGGUGGCCUCAGUCCUCCUAGGUGACAUCCUUCCACGGUGACUCUGGCUCUUGCAGGAGGUGGGCUACCACAGGGACCUGAGCCGCAUCACUGCCAUCCUCCUCCUGUGUCUGCCAGAGGAAGAUGCUUUCUGGGCGCUUACCCAGUUGCUCGCUGGUGAGAGGCACUCCCUGCAGGUAGGUGGACAGCUGCCCCCGGGGCCUUACACAGCCAUGCCAGGGGACAGCCACCCUGGCCAGUGACCCUGACUUCCAGGCAAGGUGCCUGCAUUGUAUCCCAGCUUGUUUGGAGCCUCCAGGAUGUCCCUGCUGAGGUCCUACAGCAGCCUGGGUCUGGACAGGAACCCCCUCACCUCAAGUCAGACGCCUUUCAUCCCUAACAUCAGAGGGCAUGGAUACCUCCCCCCUGGCUGCCCUCUGUCGCCCGAAGCCAGCCCCAACUUUGUGCAGGCACCACUCACCUCCCUGAGUGUCUUCCUGCCUCCCAGCUGGCUGUGCUCCCAGCCACCCUCCCUCCCUACAGAUGGGCCAACAAAGCCAAGAUGGAAGUGUCUGCCCAUCCCAUGUCCCCCAGCCUGACCUCCACAUCCAAGAGAUAGCCACAUAGCCCCCAGCUCCCACCCUGUUCUCCCCGCUGGCGCCUGCCUUGUGGUGUCAAAUGCAGGCUGCCCUCCUGGCACCUGGACCCAGGAGGCCGCUAGGCAGUGCCUCCAGCCAGGGACCUCCUCCCCAGGGCUGAGGCUACAUGCUGGGGUCACCACAUGGGAGGGAGGGAGGCCUCGGGGUCUGGGGUCCCCUGCCCUGCCCAGCUCUUCCAGCUGAUGCCUCCACAUUUUGGGCGUGGGGUCUGGUGGGGUGAUGGGUCAGGGGCUUCUCAGUAUUCUACAGCCCAAAUACUGCCCGGCUCGAGAGGCUCCUAUCGCACCAGGAGCAGGUGCUGCACAAGUCCUUCCCAAAGAUCAUGAGACACCUGGGCAAGGAAGGGCUGUGCAUUGAGGGUUCCAUGCUGACGAGGCUCCUCCGGUGUUUCCUUGAUGGGAAAUCCUUCGGGCUCACCCUGAGACUGUGGGAUGUGUUCAUCUUGGAGGGCGCGCGGGUACUGACAGCCAUGGUGCAUGCAUCAUUCAAAAUACACAGGAAGCACCUCAUGAAGCUUUCCUGGAGCACUGUCUGGGAGUUUCAGGAGCGACUCUCUCAGAGCUGGACCCUGGAGGACAACGCGGUCCUCAGGAACCUUCAAACCUCUACGAAGGAACUCACAAAAAAACACUGGGACCUGCCACCCCCAGGGAGCUUGCUACAAAAUGCACAUUGCUAUACCAUAGCCUGGGGCUUGCAAUCCAAGGCUGGCAAGGAUUCCUGCACGUCAAGGGCCUCAGGUGACUUUCAUGCACACCCAAGUCAGAAGGCUCUCCUGAAUCCUGGAUGUCACCUUCCUGCCCAAAAAAGGAGGAACGAGGGUCAACCAGCAGCAGACCAGUCACAAAAAGAGAUGAAAUGU
rnacentral:sRNA from 1 species